GGAGGCUUUUUCUUUAGUGGAAGUGGAGGUUCGCAUAGAAAUAGGUUGAUCUUCCUGAGUCGCCAGUGGCACAGGUCCCAGAGCCCUGGGUUACUUAGGGUCAGUCCUCCUGGUGGCUGCAGUCAUGACGGAGUGGUAAAUCCAUUAUUGAUUCUCAGAUAUUUCAUCUGCUUUCUUUUGUAGUAAUAAGAUUAAAAAAAAAAAUACAUCACAGGAGAACAUGUGUUUCACAAAUGCCGUCAUCGUUUUCCAAAACAGAAAGGCUGGUCGAAAAGCAGAGCUGGAAAAGCACGACCCCCCAUUUUGUGCGUGGUAGGCUCCUCUUGACAUUAUGCACUGACGUGAAAGGAUAUGGCUUUCCUGCUGACUUCAGCGAGAGAAAACAAAGAGUUCAGCCUGAGACCGAGAAAUUGCUUCAUAAGAAAACCAUCUGUGCUGAGAGAGAUGGACUAAGCUGGAUCCCUGCCAUACUGUCUGGAGGAAUAAGGUUGUUCUGGACAAGAGGAACAAUGGGAGCAGAAUGGCUGAUAUAUGCGUGCACACAGUUUUCCCCUAUUCAUCUCUGAUGAUGCCAGUGAGGUGGAGUCUGUGUUUUACCAUCAAAGGUCAGCCCUCCAGGAUGUCUGGAAGCUGCAGUGUGGCCCCUGCAUGCCAAUCUACUGGAGAAUACAUUUAGGGCUGGGUCUGGAGAAGGGUGAUGUGAAAUUACAUCGUGCACAGUGGUUGAAAUCCCAGUUUCAGUAGGGGAAGGAUUUUGAUAAUAAUGAAGUGCUACUAAUCUGAGAACAAGCCAACAGCCAAAGAACCCAGACACAAGAAUAUAUCUCACAGUUCAUUUCUCUCAUGAGGCAGGUGUUCCUGCAUGUAAAAGUUUUUUAAUGCAAGCUGCUGGCUGGCAUACAUGUGGAACAAGAAUCCCCAGAGCAUAUUAGAGGACAAACCUGCUUCCCUAGUGAAUCUGGGAACAGCCUCUUCUAGUACAGAGCCACUAUUUAUUCCGCCCUUGUGCUUCCCUUGAGUAUAAGUUAUGAUAUAUCAGCAUUGUCUUUGAGGUCUACUGAAUCUGUGGAUAUGCAGUACUCCGAAGAGUGGAGACGGAAUGAAGUUGAAAGGAUUCAUGAAUAAAAACUUACAGUUGUUUUACAGGAGGCUGCCUCUCUUGCCCUUCAGAAUGGAUAUUGUUUGGAAGUAUUUAGAGACAAAUACUAUUUUCCAGGACCACUGACACUGGGACACAGGCAUCAAGGAAAAAAUAAAACAAAGCAAUCCCAGAUGCAAUGGAAUGAACAGCUAAAAGGCAGGAAGUCAAAAACUGGAAAUGCCACUAGAGCAAAGGGAUCCUGAAAUCCCUGUGGAUUAUAUUCCUGGACCAAGGAAGGCAACAGGACACUAAGAAAGUUAACCUCAGGCAGACAAAAUGACAGCAGCAUGCAGAUGCCUGGAGUGGAAUUCAGAGAGAACUACUUGACAAAAAUACAUCUGGUCUUCAAGGUUUCAGCUGGUCCAGACAGAAAGGGAAAAAAUCGUGCUGAAAACAUUGAAAGAGAGAAGUAACGGAGAGAAAUGAAAGGAGAUAAGUAGGCUUGGGAAAAAGAGACAGAACAAGCACAGCUGAAGAGUCAGAAUAGACUACAUAUUUAUUUUCUUUAAAAAGGUAUGUUUCCUGUCCUUCCUGAUUGGAGAAGCAAUGCACCUGUGAGUUGCAGCCAAGCUCAUGAAGUGUUUUCUUACAGGCAUCUAAAGCUCUUCUUGAAAGCACUGGCCACUGCCCAAGACAGGAUGCUAUACUAGAUGGAGUGGCAGCCUAAUACAUUUAAACAAGAUUUAGCAGGUGUGCUGUUAGAGCUCUCAUCCAAUUCACGUUCCUACUCUGACUAAUUCCUACUUCAGCCUGUCUCCUGGGUUCCCCACUGAAAAGGCCAAAGCUCCCAGUGAAGCAGCAGUAGCUGCCUUUAAGCAAGAGACGAGCACUCCUGGCUUCCCUGUACUGCAUGCAAAUAGAGACAGACGCCGCUCCCCAGCUCUGCCAAGCUCUCCUUCAACGUGCCUUCUGCACGGCAGUGCCCGGUACAAGUGAUCAUCCAGCAGUGUCUUCUGAGUGUGUUAAUGUCUCUGACCCUGGCCCACUGAUCACCCGCUUCGGCAGGGGACUUGUCAUCUGUACAAACAGCAUCCACCGAGCCCACAGCCCCCCGGCUGUACGUGACGGGGAGCACUGUUUUGUGCUCUGGCUGCUCAGCACAGCCUGGUGAAGGGCAGCUGCCCCUUCCAUGCUUACUGGACCUUAACUGGAACAUGUGGAUGGAGAUGAAGAAUGGCAACACACCUGGUUUUCUAUUUUCUUCUCCCCCAGCAUACCCACAGACAAUUACCACAGCCUUGAAAAUACACCUGUGAAAUGGUUCUGUGGGCCUUUUCCAGCACUGACAGCUUUCAAACACUUCUUGCUAAUUCUGUUCUCACAUGGACAAAGCCACCAAAUCAAUCCUGAUCUCCACUAUAUCAAGCAAGUGCAGCUUCUACCUGAUUCUCAUGGCUGUCACUGAUUUACUCAAGAAAAGAGGAGGGGACCAAGAAGACCUACAUUUUCAGCUUUUUCUCAGUUCUGAUUAUUCCUUUUAUUCUUCCUGAAAAGCUGCCAUGAAACAAUAGUGAAAAGCUAUGAAGUCCCAAGGACUUGUAAAAAUAUAAGCUCCAUGUUCUAGCCUGGGAGAAUGUAUCACUAGUGAUCUUGUAUUCUUCCACAUGGUUAUGUGAGAAGGUCUUUUGGUUUCCCACCUAUGAGCAAGGAGAGAGGACAAUGGAGCUGUCACCCUUCUCCCUCUGCCAGAAGAUGUGUCCCUCUCUCCAGGCAUGGGAACUGUGGCACCAUCGUCAUUGGUAGCUGCUGGUGGUGGCGGUUCCCUAUCCUGAGGCACGUCUCUGCUCUUCACUGACUUUUCAUAGUGGCAGAGUGAUUUCACAACUGACUUCAGGUGUGCAGUUUGAAUGCCACUUUUCCAACUGCUCCGUGGUUCAAAUAAGUUCAUCCAUCCCUGACACUUGCACAGAAGCACUCUGAAAAUACAUUAUUUAAGGCCUGCCUUCCUUGGUGUUUUAGAAAUAAAGGUGUAAACUUCCUUUAAAGGUCUGAGAACAAAAAAAAAAGAAAAAAAGACUUCUCGGGCAGGAAGAAGUGAAAGGCCAGCCUUCAAGCCACACACACCCUCAGAGGGCCCUUCCAUGAGAAGUGAGAAUUACUCGAGCUAAUGUUGCCGUAUCCCUCUCUGCACCUGAGGAUGGUGAAACCACCGAGGCGUGCUAUGCUGAUACCUCCAUGCUACAGUCGCCAGAGGGGUGGCGUAACGUUACCACAGCAACCACACGUCUGGCCUAGCUCUUUCUGCCGGGCUGGGGAGGCAGGCAGGAGCUCGCUUGAAAGUUUUAUCAGGUUUCUUAAAGAUUUAUGAUGCUUCCUUGCCUUCUGCUAUUGCCCGCUUGACCAGUUAGCAUGGUUGAGAGCAAACAAGGAGACUGAAAAACGCAUGGCAUGGUAAACAUAUUUUGAAGGGUAUUGUGAAGGGCUGGGAUCUGGAGCUUCAGCAAGAAGUGUGAGGGGAGCUGGCUGUAUCUUUUUUUUCUGAUUUUCAUCAAAUGUGCUUUUUCCUUCUCCCAGAAGUGCUUCACAGAGGGGUGCCCACUUGAAGACUUCCAAGUACCAAGACUCCGUGUCUCUCAAGGGUGUCAAAAUCUGAAGUUUUUCCAGUCAAAAUCUGGAGAUUUCUUUAUUCUAGAAAGUCAAGACUUUCACAAAAUAUUAGCUUUUUGAAGCCUUUCAAAAGAUGGGCUUUUCACUCCAUUACAGAACGAAAACAAGUUUGAAAGCUUAUGAACUGGAAUUGCUGUUCUCCAGAUAGCAGUACAUGAUGAGUAUUUCCCUUAAAUAAAUAAAUAAAUAAAUACAUGCAUACUCCGGAAGACUGUAGUAGCAAUCCCGAGUAGAGCAGUAAAACCAAUGUACGGUGGAUGUGCUGGAGCAGGAUGGUGACAAACGGUAGCAGUUUAAGAAACACAUCUGUGCGCGUGGCAGUGCGAAGUGCAGAUCUGGGCAGCACGUGGUGCGCAAGCAGCAUCGCUCUUUGGAACCACGUCUCUGUAAAGCAAUAGAAAAGAGAUGAGACUGUUGAAGCAUGGGAUGUAAGAACAUCUGCCCUUCAAAACAACAGUAAUGCAUCAGGUAAAUGGAGGUGAGCUUGAGCCACAUGCUGCAUCUAACAUAAUUAAAGGUGAUGGAAAAGUGCAGCUGUUGGAAUGGGGAGAUGUGGUUUACUAUAUCCCUCACAAAGAAUGCCUUUGUACAAAGAAUGGAGCAGGAAAUCAAGAUGCACUAGAUUUGUACCAGCAACAUGAUCUUUCAGUACAUAUUCUGCAGCUUUCAUCAGGUACUUGGUAGAACCUGCUGCAAAAUGACUGCUUUAUCUGGACACAUAUAAAACAUGAAGCUACACUUCCAUGGAUUACGGCAGGUUACAUCUUGUUAUGAGGAACAAACCAUGUACAAGGGCUUAGCACUCCAACUUCUGGAUAUCUUUUCAUAGAUGAAAUCUGUGGAUAACUGUCAGGAAAGUGUGAGAAGUAACAGACAAAACCUAGAUCAGUUUAGUUCAUAGGGCAAAAAAUGAGAGAGAAAAGGCCUGAUGUAAUGAGCAGAGUGGAUCGGCUUCACUGUGGAAAACUGUUAGAUCACUUUAAGAGUCCAGAGCUAUUGUUUAUGUGAAAUGUCCACUGUGGAUGACUGGAAUAAAAGAAAUAAAUAUACAUAUUUAA